CAUGUAGGCGGUUAUUUAAGUGAGUUGUGAAAUUCCUGGGCUCAACCUGGGGCUUGCAAGUCAUACUGGGUAACUAGAGUCUGAGAGAGGGAAGUAGAAUUUCCGGUGUAGCGGUGAAAUGCGUAGAGAUCGGAAAGAAUACCGGUGGCGAAGGCGGCUUCCUGGCUUAAGACUGACGCUGAGGUGCGAAAGCGUGGGUAGCGAACA
rnacentral:rRNA from 1 species